AAAUUUUUGAAAUCUAAGCCCUCAUCCGUGUAUAUAUAGCUAAAAUGUUAAGAGUAUUACUUUAAAAAAAAGCCUUCAGGCUUUUGAGGCCUGAUGGUGAAGCAGCUUGAAGUCCUGUAAUCAGGACAGAGCCCUGGUCGUAGAGGUUGUGUGUGGUGUGGCAGGGAAUCAAGCCCAUCCUGCCGCAGUGAUGGAUGAGUAGCGUGUCAGAGAUUACUGCCCACAGGGCAACCCCAUAUGGGAAAUGCCAUUAGGAAAGCUCACUUGAGAAAGUCUGGCAGAAAAUGGCAAGGCCCACAGGAACCAAGAGGGCCACAUGGAAAUUUGCUGUAUUAAUUCUGAGGAAACUUUUAGAAGCAGCUAAUCUGUGACAACCCACCUCCUAGAUUCUAGACUUGCUAACCACUUCUGGACAAGAGUGUGUCAUACAGUCUCUAAAAGAAGGCUGUCAAACUCAAGGAUAUUCAGGAACCAAGCGGGCAAUCUGGAGAAGUGAAGGUGGUCAAAUGGAGGUGGGGGCUGGCAAAAUGCUUGAAUAUCCCUAAACCGCUCAAAUUCUGUACUUCCUCCCUAGAUAACUCAUGUGUUUUCAAGUCUUAAAUGCCAUCUGUAUGCUGUAGAUUUCCAAAUUUUCAUCACCUCCUGAGAUCCAUCAACUGGGUUCCAAACUCUUGCAUUCUCCAAUGUGUAUUUCUAUAUAAAUAUCUCACAGCCUUAUCAAACUUUAAUAUGUCUAAUGCUAAGGCUCUUUACUACUCC